UACGUAGGGCGCAAGCGUUGUCCGGAAUUAUUGGGCGUAAAGAGCUCGUAGGCGGUCUGUCGCGUCUGCCGUGAAAACCCGAGGCUUAACCUCGGGCUGGCGGUGGAUACGGGCAGACUAGAGGUAGGUAGGGGAGAAUGGAAUUCCCGGUGUAGCGGUGAAAUGCGCAGAUAUCGGGAGGAACACCGGUGGCGAAGGCGGUUCUCUGGACCGGUACUGACGCUGAGGCGCGAAAGCGUGGGGAGCAAACAGG
rnacentral:rRNA from 1 species